rnacentral:rRNA from 1 species
CUUGGUCAUUUAGAGGAAGUAAAAGUCGUAACAAGGUUUCCGUAGGUGAACCUGCGGAAGGAUCAUUAAAAAAAGAGAAACGUCCCGUUCUUUUUCAUAAGAAUGGGUUCUAUUCCCUUAAACCGUGUCUACAUACCUUUGUUGCUUUGGCAGGCCGCCUUCGGGCGUCGGCUCCGGCUGAUAGUGCCUGCCAGAGGACCCAAACUCUAUGUUUAGUGAUGUCUGAGUACUAUAUAAUAUUUAAAACUUUCAACAACGGAUCUCUUGGUUCUGGCAUCGAUGAAGAACGCAGCGAAAUGCGAUAAGUAAUGUGAAUUGCAGAAUUCAGUGAAUCAUCGAAUCUUUGAACGCACAUUGCGCCCCUUGGUAUUCCGAGGGGCAUGCCUGUUCGAGCGUCAUUAUAACCACUCAAGCCUGGCUUGGUAUUGGGGUUUUCGCGUGUUCGCGGCCCUUAAAAUCAGUGGCGGUGCCGUCUGGCUCUAAGCGUAGUAACUUCUCUCGCUAUAGGGUUCCGGUGGUUACUUGCCAAAACCCCCCAUUUUUUCUAGGUUGACCUCGGAUCAGGUAGGGAUACCCGCUGAACUUAAGCAUAUCAAUAAGCGGAGGA